UCCCUGGCAGUCCAGUGGUUAAGACUCUGUGCUUCCAAUGCAGAGGGUGCAGGGUUCCAUCCCUGGUCAGGGAA
rnacentral:tRNA from 1 species